GCGCGGUUAGCUCAGCGGGAGAGCACUACCUUGACACGGUAGGGGUCACAGGUUCAAUCCCUGUACCGCGCA
rnacentral:tRNA from 2 species